UACGUAGGUGGCAAGCGUUGUCCGGAUUUACUGGGCGUAAAGAGCGCGCAGGCGGUCGUUCAAGUCGCGUGUGAAAGCCCCCGGCUCAACUGGGGAGGGUCACGCGAUACUGAUCGACUCGAAGGCAGGAGAGGGUAGUGGAAUUCCCGGUGUAGUGGUGAAAUGCGUAGAUAUCGGGAGGAACACCAGUGGCGAAGGCGGGUUGCUGGGCCGACACUGACGCUGAGGCGCGAAAGCCAGGGGAGCGAACGGG
rnacentral:rRNA from 1 species